rnacentral:rRNA from 1 species
GACGAACGCUGGCGGCGUGCUUAACACAUGCAAGUCGAACGGAAAGGCCCUGCAUUUGUGGGGUGCUCGAGUGGCGAACGGGUGAGUAACACGUGAGUAACCUGCCCUUGACUUUGGGAUAACUUCAGGAAACUGGGGCUAAUACCGGAUAGGAGCUCCUGCUGCAUGGUGGGGGUCGGAAAGUUUCGGCGGUUGGGGAUGGACUCGCGGCUUAUCAGCUUGUUGGUGGGGUAGUGGCUUACCAAGGCUUUGACGGGUAGCCGGCCUGGGAGGGUGACCGGCCACAUUGGGACUGAGAUACGGCCCAGACUCCUACGGGAGGCAGCAGUGGGGAAUAUUGCACAAUGGGCGGAAGCCUGAUGCAGCAACGCCGCGUGCUGGAUGACGGCCUUCGGGUUUUAAACCGCUUUCGCCUGUGACGAAGCGUGAGUGACGGUAAUGGGUAAAGAAGCACCGGCUAACUACGUG